UACCUUGUUACGACUUAGUCCCAGUCACCAACCCCACCUUUGACAGCUCCCUCCCUUACGGGUUAGGAUACCGGCUUCAGGUGUUGCCAGCUUCCAUGACUUGACGGGCGGUGUGUACAAUCCCCGGGAACGUAUUCACCGCAGUAUAGCUGACCUGCGGUUACUAGCAACUCCAACUUCAUGCAGGCGAGUUGCAGCCUGCAAUCUGAACUGAGGACAGCUUUAGAGGAUUGGCUCCGCCUCGCGGCUUGGCAACCUGUUGUACUGUCCAUUGUAGCGUGUGGGUAGCCCUGGAUAUAAAGGUCAUGCUGACUUGACGUCAUCCGCACCUUCCUCCGGCUUAAUACCGGCGGUAUUGUGUGACACAUAUAACACACAACGCGGGUUGCGCUCGUUAGCGGACUUAACCGAACAUCUCACGACACGAGCUGACGACAGCCAUGCAACACCUGUAACAGCUCCCCGAAGGGUCGGUCCGAUUUCUCUUCCCUACCACUGCUAUGUCAAACCCAGGUAAGGUUCUUCGUGUAGCAACGAAUUAAACCACACGCUCCGCUGCUUGUGCGGGGACCCGUCAAUUCCUUUGAGUUUUAACCUUGCGGCCGUAGUCCCCAGGCGGUAGACUUAUCGCGUUAGCUUGGACACCGACAGCUAUUACACCACCGACGUCUAGUCUACAUCGUUUAGGGCUAGGACUACCGGGGUCUCUAAUCCCGUUUGCUACCCUAGCUUUCGCGUCUGAGUGUCAGGAAUGGUCCAGGAGGCCGCUUUCGCCACUGGUGUUCCUCCAGAUAUCUGCGCAUUCCACCGCUACACCUGAAAUUCCACCUCCCUCUACCAUCCUCUAGUUCUGCAGUUUAGAACGGCCUCUCCCAGUUGAGCCAGGAGCUCUCACGCCCUACUUACAAAACCACCUACACGCGCUUUACGCCCAGU
rnacentral:rRNA from 1 species